UGGGGGGAUAUUGCACAAUGGAGGAAACUCUGAUGCAGCGACGCCGCGUGAGUGAAGAAGUAUUUCGGUAUGUAAAGCUCUAUCAGCAGGGAAGAAAGACCUCGAAAGAGGGGAUGACGGUACCUGAGUAAGAAGCCCCGGCUAACUACGUGCCAGCAGCCGCGGUAAUACGUAGGGGGGCAAGCGUUAUCCGGAUUUACUGGGUGUAAAGGGAGCGCAGGCGGCGAAGCAAGCCAGAGGUGAAAACCCGGGGCUCAACCCCGAGGAUUGCCUUUGGAACUGUUUUGCUUGAGUACUGGAGGGGCAGGCGGAAUUCCUGGUGUAGCGGUGAAAUGCGUAGAUAUCAGGAGGAACACCGGUGGCGAAGGCGGCCUGCUGGACAGUAACUGACGC
rnacentral:rRNA from 1 species